rnacentral:rRNA from 1 species
GACGAACGCUGGCGGCGUGCCUAAUACAUGCCAGUAGAACGCUGAAGGAGGAGCUUGCUCUUCUGGAUGAGUUGCGAACGGGUGAGUAACGCGUAGGUAACCUGCCUGGUAGCGGGGGAUAACUAUUGGAAACGAUAGCUAAUACCGCAUAAGAGUAGAUGUUGCAUGACAUUUGCUUAAAAGGUGCAAUUGCAUCACUACCAGAUGGACCUGCGUUGUAUUAGCUAGUUGGUGGGGUAACGGCUCACCAAGGCGACGAUACAUAGCCGACCUGAGAGGGUGAUCGGCCACACUGGGACUGAGACACGGCCCAGACUCCUACGGGAGGCAGCAGUAGGGAAUCUUCGGCAAUGGACGGAAGUCUGACCGAGCAACGCCGCGGGAGUGAAGAAGGGUUUCGGAUCGUAAAGCUCGGUUGUAAGAGGAGAACGAGUGUGAGAGUGGAAAGUUCACACUGUGACGGUAUCUUACCAGAAAGGGACGGCUAACUACGUG